CUCAUCAUCAUCAUCUUCAACAACAUCAUCAACAGCAAAGACAGCAAGAAGAAGAGGAAGAAGAAGAGGAGGAAGAAGAAGAGGAGGAGGAGGAGGAAGAAGAAAAAGAAUCCCAGAGAAAACAUCUCCUUGUUCAACACCAACAGCAGCCUCAAAGCUUCUCCUCCUCGCAUCAUUACCAGUACAUUCUGAACACAACCCAGGCUCCUCAAAACCAACUUUUAUAUGGAGGAGAAGAGUUAGAUAUUCCUCCUCAACCUCCCAAGAAACGCUCUUAUCGCCCCUCUAUUUCUCCUUCUUCAACCUCUUUCGCCCAACAAGCAACCCAAUAUGCGAGAAAAAUGGAAAACAGCCACCAUCAAGCAGCAACAUCGUCGAGACUGGGGUUAAGAAACGCCGGCGGCGAG
rnacentral:lncRNA from 1 species